rnacentral:rRNA from 1 species
UACGUAGGGUGCAAGCGUUGUCCGGAAUUAUUGGGCGUAAAGAGCUCGUAGGCGGUCUGUCGCGUCGGAUGUGAAAAAUCCAGGGCUCAACCCUGGACCUGCAUUCGAUACGGGCAGACUAGAGUUCGGUAGGGGAGACUGGAAUUCCUGGUGUAGCGGUGAAAUGCGCAGAUAUCAGGAGGAACACCGGUGGCGAAGGCGGGUCUCUGGGCCGUAACUGACGCUGAGGAGCGAAAGCAUGGGGAGCGAACAGG